AGCAGCCGCGGUAAUUCCAGCUCCAAUAGCGUAUAUUAAAGUUGUUGCAGUUAAAAAGCUCGUAGUUGGAUUUUGGGUCUGGCCGGACGGUCCGCCUUCUAGGUAAGCACUGUUCCGAUGUUGGGCCUAUCCUUCUGGUGAGUCGGCAUGUCCUUUAUUGGGUGCGUCGGGGAACCAGGACCAUUACCUUGAAAAAAUUGAGUGUUCAAAGCAAGCGUAUGCUCGAAUACAUUAGCAUGGAAUAAUAAAAUAGGACGCGUGGUGCUAUUUUGUGGUUUCUAGAACCGCCGUAAUGAUUAAUAGGGAUAGUUGGGGGCAUUAGUAUUCAAUUGUCAGAGGUGAAAUUCUUGGAUUUAUUGACGACUAACUUCUGCGAAAGCAUUUGCCAAGGAUGUUUUC
rnacentral:rRNA from 1 species